CUAUUCAUGUAACAGUCUGAAAAGUUGAUGUAAGAACAUAAUAAAGUAUUGAAAAACAGUGGUGUUUUCCUUUAAAGUGUCUUUGUUGUUUUAUCACAUAAUCAUAAGUUUAUGUAUAGAUUAGUAAUAUAAUUUUUAAUCCAAACAGUCAACUAUUUCAAGUGUCAGACAGAAAGAGUAAAACACACAAGAUACUCUAUUUCUUUGCUGAUUUCUAUGUUAUUCAAAUUUUUGAAAGUUUUUAUUUUUCACUAUAUUACUGUAUUGUAGGUUUACUUGCUGGUUGCUGGUCAGGCUUGGAUAUGAUAGUUUGAUGUUCUGGUUGGUUUCUGUGGAUUUCUUGUUGUUUGCUAGGUGUUUCUAAGUUGCUAGAGUAUAACUUUCCUGUUUUUAGUUAAUUGAUGUACUUUAAUGGUGUUUUUAUUCUGUUUUACUUUUGCCUUGUCAGUGUAUGUUUUUUAUGUCUAUAUAUGAAGGUUUCAGAUGCAAAAGCCGCUAAACCCCACCUCCGUCAAAAAUUUGAACAUUAUAUUUGUAGAAUGCUCUCGACACACUCCAUACUUUCACAUCAAAUCCGUCUAAUCCCAGCCUUAGGCCAUUUAGAAAAAACAGUUUUAUGCAAGUAGGCCGAAUCCAUUAAAGGGAUACUCCAGCCAAAUAUCACAAUUACCCCAUUAUUUUUCUCACCUUUAAGCAAGACUCACCCCAUUUUGGCUUUGUGCAAUUUACACAAGCGUUUUAGCGUAGUGAGGGUUGGUUGCCAUAGGUACGUUGCAGUGAUUCUCGUGAAUCGCAUGAGUCCAGAUGGUGUCGUUACCGGAAGCUAUUUAUUAUAGUUUAUGAAGUUAAAAAAAUGAAUCUCUUUCUUACAAAUUCGCAUUGAUUACCUGUAAAAGACCUCUAUUAACCCCUUGAAGCUGUGAUGAUUACUUCUGUGAAUGAUGGAUUCACUUUUUGAGCUUCAAAGUCAGAAGUUGUUGCCUAAUCCCUGUUUUCUACUGUUAUAGGCUUAGAAAAGCAAAGACAUUUACUAAAAUAACUCCAAAUGUCUUUGACUGAAAGAUGAUGGCCAUAUCGGAUUCGGAUUGCUUGAGGGUUAAAGAAUGAGAGCAGACCAUCUAUGGGAAAAGCCGGAUUCCACCAAAGCUUCCUGAGGUGAAGAAGGCAUGGGAGAAGGUAGCGGUGAUCGUGUCAGCUGUACAAGGUACAAUGAUAUACACUAAUAAAAGCAGCAAGUGGCCACUGGAGGAGGACCGCCUACAGCCAUUCUGCCAGCGGAAGACAACAGUGCCUCUAUUUGGGGGCUUAGAGGUGGGCUUCUAAGCCGGUCCCAGCUGGGAGGAGCAAGGCGUAGUUGUAGAGGAAGAAGAGACGGUGGAAGAACCA